rnacentral:rRNA from 1 species
AGGAUGAACGCUGGCGGCGUGCCUAAUACAUGCAAGUCGAGCGGUAAGGCCACUUCGGUGGUACACGAGCGGCGGACGGCUGAGUAACACGUAGGAACGUACCCCAAAGUGAGGCAUAAGCACCAGAAAUGGUGUCUAAUACCGCAUGUGGCCUAACAGGCUAAAGCUCCGGCGCUUUGGGAACGGCCUGCGCAUGAUUAGCUUGUUGGUGAGGUAAUAGCUCACCAAGGCGACGAUCAUUA